rnacentral:rRNA from 1 species
UAUGUACAUGACUACAUCGUUAAUGCACCAGAUCCCACCAAAACUCCAAAAUUAAGUGUGCUUGGGAUAGAGUAGUACUAGUAUGGGGGCCUCCAAGGAAUUCCUAGUGUUUUACAUGC